rnacentral:rRNA from 1 species
ACGUUAACGAACGAGACCUUCACUGUUAACUAGCCCGCAUUGCUUUGGCAGUGCGCUGGCUUCUUAGCGGGACUAUUGGCGCGAGCCAAUGGAAGUUGGAGGCGAUAACAGGUCUGUGAUGCCCUUAGAUGUUCUGGGCCGCACGCGCGCUACACUGACGGAGCCAGCGAGUACUUCCUUAACCGACAGGUUUGGGUAAUCUUGUGAAACUCCGUCGUGCUGGGGAUAGAGUGUUGCAAUUUUCACUCUUCAACGAGGAAUCCCUAGUAAGCGCAAGUCAUCAGCUUGCGUUGAUUACGUCCCUGCCCUUUGUACACACCGCCCGUCGCUAAUACCGAUUGAAUGGUUA